rnacentral:rRNA from 1 species
GAUGAACGCUGGCGGCGUGCCUAAUACAUGCAAGUCGAGCGAACGGACGAGAAGCUUGCUUCUCUGAUGUUAGCGGCGGACGGGUGAGUAACACGUGGAUAACCUACCUAUAAGACUGGGAUAACUUCGGGAAACCGGAGCUAAUACCGGAUAAUAUUUUGAACCGCAUGGUUCAAAAGUGAAAGACGGUCUUGCUGUCACUUAUAGAUGGAUCCGCGCUGCAUUAGCUAGUUGGUAAGGUAACGGCUUACCAAGGCAACGAUGCAUAGCCGACCUGAGAGGGUGAUCGGCCACACUGGAACUGAGACACGGUCCAGACCCCUACGGGAGGCAGCAGUAGGGAAUCUUCCGCAAUGGGCGAAAGCCUGACGGAGCAACGCCGCGUGAGUGAGGAAGGUCUUCGGAUCGUAAAACUCUGUUAUUAGGGAAGAACAUAUGUGUAAGUAACUGUGCACAUCUUGACGGUACCUAAGCAGAAAGCCACGGCUAACUACGU